AACGAACGCUGGCGGCAUGCCUAACACAUGCAAGUCGAACGAACCCUUCGGGUUAGUGGCGCACGGGUGCGUAACGCGUGGGAAUCUGCCCUGGGGUGCGGAAUAACUCGGAGAAAUCCGUGCUAAUACCGCAUAAUGUCUUCGGACCAAAGAUUUAUCGCCCUGGGAUGAGCCCGCGUUGGAUUAGCUAGUUGGUAGGGUAAAAGCCUACCAAGGCGACGAUCUAUAGCUGGUCUGAGAGGAUGAUCUGCCACACUGGGACUGAGACACGGCCCAGACUCCUACGGGAGGCAGCAGUUAGGAAUAUUGGACAAUGGGCGAAAGCCUGAUCCAGCCAUGCCGCGUGUGUGAUGAAGGCCCUAGGGUUGUAAAGCACUUUCGUUGGGGAUGAGUAAUGACCGUACCCAAAGAAGAAGCACCGGCUAACUUCGUG
rnacentral:rRNA from 1 species